rnacentral:rRNA from 1 species
AUUGAACGCUGGCGGAAUGCUUUACACAUGCAAGUCGAACGGCAGCAUAGGUGCUUGCACCUGAUGGCGAGUGGCGAACGGGUGAGUAAUACAUCGGACCGUGCCCAGUCGUGGGGGAUAACGUAGCGAAAGUUACGCUAAUACCGCAUACGAUCUAAGGAUGAAAGCGGGGGACCGUAAGGCCUCGCGCGAUCGGAGCGGCCGAUGUCAGCUGAGGUAGUUGGUGAGGUAAAGGCUCACCAAGCCGACGAUCUGUAGCUGGUCUGAGAGGACGACCAGCCACACUGGGACUGAGACACGGCCCAGACUCCUACGGGAGGCAGCAGUGGGGAAUUUUGGACAAUGGACGCAAGUCUGAUCCAGCCAUUCCGCGUGCAGGACGAAGGCCUUCGGGUUGUAAACUGCUUUCGUACGGAACGAAAAAGCUCUUACUAAUACUAGGAGUCCAUGACGGUACCGUAAGAAUAAGCACCGGCUAACUACGUGCCAGCCGCCGCCGUAA